UACGUAGGGUCCGAGCGUUGUCCGGAAUUAUUGGGCGUAAAGGGCUCGUAGGCGGUUUGUCACGUCGGGAGUGAAAACUCAGGGCUCAACCCUGAGCGUGCUUCCGAUACGGGCAGACUAGAGGUAUGCAGGGGAGAACGGAAUUCCUGGUGUAGCGGUGGAAUGCGCAGAUAUCAGGAGGAACACCGGUGGCGAAGGCGGUUCUCUGGGCAUGACCUGACGCUGAGGAGCGAAAGCGUGGGGAGCAAACAGG
rnacentral:rRNA from 1 species